rnacentral:lncRNA from 1 species
CAAUAACAGGAGCUUUUGUGAAUGGAAACUUUCCCAGCAAAUACAAUAUAGGAUUAUAGAGAAAAAAAUUAAAUGCUUUAUCUUUUUGUUGAGGUAUUUUAGCAGGUAUUGCUGCUAAAAUAAAUGUCUGCAACUUCCUUUCUUGUUGUUUCAUGAACAGAAGAUAAAAUAGCUUGGGAUUUUCAAGGCAGAGGCACAUUCUAGUAUUUAUCCAUUGAAGGUUAUUUUAUUGGUAAUAAAAGAGAUUACUUUUUACCAGUUAACUUACUUGUUUGAUCAAAACAAUAAUUUUCCUUAAAAUUAAUUUCAUGUUAUCUAUAUAUCUUUGGCUGGUGCAGCCAGGAAAGUGUGCCUCUAUCAUUGCACCUACAGAUCUUGCUGUAAAAAAAGCUUGGUAAAUUCCCUGCCCUGUGUGAUUAAUUUUCUAAUCUUUCCCAUAGAUACCAUGAACAGAAUGGAGUCACAGCCUUAAAUAAUUUUAAAUUUGGACCACUCUUUAUGAGGCUGUGUUAUGAGCUAGACCUUGAAAGACCUGCAGCAGAACUUAUCAAAGAUCAGGUGCUUUGGAAGUUUUGGUAGAAAUGAAAAAACAAGGUAUACCUUUCAACAAAGAAACCUAUCUACUUGCAGUUGCAAUAUGCUAUAAACUGAGGUAUUUUUGAUGUCAACUCUGCUGUGGUGGUGCAGGUGGCAGGAGUGCCACGACCUCUCUGAAGAAGUAUCCUGAGAAAGAUGGCUCUCAGAGACACAGGAAUAUCCCUCUCUUAGCCUGGGCAACCUGGAGUCUUCCAAAACCUCUGUGAGACUGCUUGAAGAAGCUCAGCUUAAAGGGGACACGUUGUCACUGAGAGCAUACUGCUUUGCAAUGGCAACUGCUCUCAAGCAGAAUGAUAUAGCACAAGCCA